AGAGUUUGAUCCUGGCUUAGAACGAACGCUGGCGGCAUGGAUUAGGCAUGCAAGUCGAACGAAGUAGCAAUACUUAGUGGCGCAAGGGUGAGGAACGCGUGAGUGACCUACCCGCAAGUUUGGAACAGCUCCUGGAAACGGGAAUUAAUACCGGAUGUGAUCAAUGGACUGCAUGGUUUAUUGAUUAAAGCAGUAAUGCGCUUGCGGAUGGGCUCGCGUCCCAUUAGCUAGUUGGUGAGGUAACGGCCCACCAAGGCCAUGAUGGGUAGCUGGUCUGAGAGGACGACCAGCCACACUGGGACUGAGAACUGCCCAGACUCCUACGGGAGGCUGCAGUCGAGAAUUUUGGGCAAUGGACGAAAGUCCUGACCCAGCAAUGCCGCGUGCGGGAUGAAGGUCUUCGGAUUGUAAACCGCUGUUUGGAGGGACGAAAAUUGACGGUACUUCCAGAGAAAGCCACGGCUAACUACGUGCCAGCCGCGGC
rnacentral:rRNA from 1 species